UACAGAGGGGGCAAGCGUUGUUCGGAAUUACUGGGCGUAAAGGGCGCGUAGGCGGCCUGCUAAGUCGAACGUGAAAUCCCUGGGCUCAACCCAGGAACUGCGUCCGAUACUGGUUGGCUUGAAUCCGGGAGAGGGAUGUGGAAUUCCUGGUGUAGCGGUGAAAUGCGCAGAUAUCAGGAGGAACACCAAUUGCGAAGGCAGCUCGCUGGGACGUUACUGACGCUGAGACGCGAAAGCGUGGGGAGCAAACAGG
rnacentral:rRNA from 1 species